UACAGAGGUCUCAAGCGUUGUUCGGAUUCAUUGGGCGUAAAGGGUGCGUAGGCGGCGCGGUAAGUCGGGUGUGAAAUCUCGGGGCUUAACUCCGAAACUGCAUUCGAUACUGCCGUACUUGAGGACUGGAGAGGAGACUGGAAUUUACGGUGUAGCGGUGAAAUGCGUAGAUAUCGUAAGGAAGACCAGUGGCGAAGGCGGGUCUCUGGACAGUUCCUGACACUGAGACACGAAGGCCAGGGGAGCAAACGGG
rnacentral:rRNA from 1 species